GUCUCUUUGGCUGCUAUGUUUUAGUGUUAUAAUAAGACUCACCUUGGAGGAAACAAUAACAUGCUGUCCUAAUAUUGCUUUAUGUACAGAGAGUAAUUAAUAAAAGUAUGUUAAAAAAGGAAAUGAUGUCACUCUAACAGUGUAGCCAUCAGAAGGCAUAUAAGCUUUCCUAUAUGACACUCUGUUUUUUAAAUGCCUAAUACUACUAUAUCUAAAACGGGUGAAACGUUGUGAUGCUCCAUGUUUUUUUUUUUUUUGUUUUACUUUAAAUUUGAUAGAGUUGUAGGUCACAAUUUUUACAGCAGGUUCACCUGCAUGAGCGCUCACUGCUAAGACACCUGUAUAUUUAUUGAGGUGAAGGAAGCCACGGCAGCAAGCCAAAUACAGACGAUAACGUGGCGCUCGCAUGCAGUGAUAAUGGCUGUUCUGAUAGUGGUGAUGGCUAAUAUUUGACAUAGCAGCUACUCCGUGUCCCCCAGAGAAAUGAAAAAGGAGGAGGCAGUGAGAUGGAUGAAGGUGGAAGUUCUGAGCAUUUCUCCUCUCAAAAGAGACCGGAGCCCACCAGUGAAGAGAGUUCAGAUGUAGAUGAAGAGAGCAAGGAAGCAAGACUGGCUUUGAGGAAAAGGGGAAAAACCAAAGUGGCCAAAGCAAAGGAGAUCCCCCGUGCGAAGGUCAAGAGGCCAUGGAGUGAAGCAGAGAAGACGGCAGUGCAAAGACGGCUGGGAAUUAUGUAGGAAGCAGGAAGGUCAUACUGGUACAGUUGUAGCCAUCCUAAGCUUUACUGAUUUUUCUUUUUGGCAGAAGUCAAAACAAACUGAUCAAAGUUAUUGAUCACUAUUUUAGUUGUAAGUCAUUAGACUUAAUAGUUGUCUUCAUUGUUAUAAUAGCAAUUAUUAUUCCUCUGGAAGGAUGUUACAUUGUGAAAUAAACUGAAUUUGCUCUUGUUGCAGCAUUGUGGGAAUUUCCUUGGUAAUUAUUAAUAAAAUCUACAGCGG
ensembl:lncRNA